UUUCCGUAGGUGAACCUGCGGAAGGAUCAUUAUUGUAUAACCGAGGUUCGAGGGCUGUCGCUGUCCCGAAAGGUUGUGCACGCCCGCGUGCUAUCCCUCACCACCAUCUCACCCCUAUGUGAACAACCGCGUGGUUCCCCCUUUGGCUUGUUCGGAGAGGGCAUUACGUUUUCACACAAUUUUUGUUUGCAGUGUAGAAUGUAUUUUUUGUUUUUGUUUUAACACCAUAAAUCUACCUUUCAACAUCGGUGAUCUUGGCUCUCGCAUCGAUGAAGAACC
rnacentral:misc_RNA from 1 species